rnacentral:rRNA from 1 species
UAGCAGUAAACUAUGUUGAAUCAUAGAUAUAUUUUGAUAUAUAUUUAUGUAGAGAAAUUAAGAUUAUAUUGACUCUGGGGAUAGUAUGAUCGCAAGAUUGAAAAUUAAAGAAAUUGACGGAAGAAUACCACAAG